rnacentral:rRNA from 1 species
GUUAGGAAUAUUGGACAAUGGGCGCAAGCCUGAUCCAGCCAUGCCGCGUGAGUGAUGAAGGCCUUCGGGUUGUAAAGCUCUUUAGCCGAUGAUUAUAAUGACUGUAGUCGGAAAAUAAGCCCCGGCUAACUUCGUGCCAGCAGCCGCGGUAAUACGAAGGGGGCGAGCGUUAUUCGGAAUCACUGGGCGUAAAGCGUGCGUAGGCGGCUUUGCAAGUUGGGAGUGAAAGCCCAGGGCUCAACCCUGGAAUUGCUCUCAAAACUGCAAGGCUCGAAUUCGGGAGAGGAUAGCGGAAUUGUCAGUGUAGCAGUGAAAUGCGUAGAUAUUGACAGGAACACAAGUGGCGUAAGCGGCUAUCUGGACCGAUAUUGACGCUGAGGCACGAAAGCGUGGGGAUCAAACAGGAUUAGAAACCCUAGUAGUCC